rnacentral:SRP_RNA from 1 species
CCGUGCUAAGCGGGGAGGUAGCGGUGCCCUGUACCUGCAAUCCGCUCUAGCGGGGCCGAAUCCCUUCUCGAGGUUCGUUUACUUUAAGGUCUGCCUUAAGUAAGUGGUGUUGACGUUUGGGUCCUGCGCAAUGGGAAUUCAUGAACCAUGUCAGGUCCGGAAGGAAGCAGCAUUAAGUG